rnacentral:rRNA from 1 species
AUUGAACGCUAGCGGCAGGCCUAACACAUGCAAGUCGAACGAGUGGCGGACGGGUGAGUAAUGUCUGGGAACCUGCCCGAUGGAGGGGGAUAACUACUGGAAACGGUAGCUAAUACCGCAUACCAUCGGAUGUGCCCAGAUCGGAUUAGCUAGUGGGUGGGGUAACGGCUCACCAAGGCAACGAUCCCUAGCUGGUCUGAGAGGAUGACCAGCCACACUGGGACUGAGACACGGCCCAGACUCCUACGGGAGGCAGCAGUGGGGAAUUUUGGACAAUGGGGGAAACCCUGAUCCAGCCAUGCCGCGUGUAUGAUGAAGGCCUUCGGGUUGUAAAGUACUUUUGGCAGGGAGGCGGUAUCUGCAGAAUAAGCACCGGCUAACUCCGUGCCAGCAGCCGCGGUAAUUC